AUGAAAAGAGGCAAGUCUACUCCAUUUCCAACAGAAGGCCCUCAGUGUUCUGCAGAUAUGGUCUCCUCUGAUGGUGGACACCAAGAGACCCAGCCAACCAUGGAGCACGCUCAUCUGGAGACCCAACCUCCUUCGGCGGCUGAGGCUGCCUCAGGUGUGGCUCCUGCCAAUUGCAAGUGCCCCACACCAUCCCGCCCUCUGCCGCCAACUCCUGGCCACUCUCAGUCCAGAGGCCGUACUCUGCGACGUUACCCCAAGCGUCAAAGCUGUCGCCGGAUAUGCUCCUCUUCAUCCAGCUCUCGGGAAUCCCGUUCUCGUACUCCGCAAUGCCGAGAAUGCGACCACUGCACCCAUUCUCCACAUAGUACCUCCUGUCAUUCCCAGGAUGCCGAAGAAUGUCGAGGCCCUCCCUGUCACCGCUGCUCAGGAUGCGACUGUUCUGUUGCUGGCCGAGGACACCAGGAUCGUGGGCAUCAUUCUCAAAGGUUGUCAGUCUCAAACACCUCCUCCGUGAUACCUGGACCUCAUUCUGCCAGAGUCACUUCUCAUCCUCAAGAUGCUGAUGCUGUGACAUCUCAGGCUGCUGAACCUGCUCACCAUCCAUUUCAAAGCAUCAGUUCCGAUGAGGACUCUUCAUCUUCUUCCUCCUCUUCAGAUUCAAGUCGAGCGGCAUCCCCUAGUCCCUUUGUCACCAAACCUCCCCCUCUGUUGCCUGUUUACAACGUUGGGUCUUUCAGGGAUCAAAUAUUGCGCCUCACUAAAGCCCUAGGCCUUCAAAUACAGCAACCUAGAAUUGUCAAUGACCCCGUUUUCAAGUUCAUUCAAGAACCACCACAAGCUAUUCUGCCGUUUCUACCUUAUCUUCUCCAUGUUGUGAAGGCAUCGUGGUCAAACCCGUCAUCCGUUCCACCCACUUCCCGUAAACUGGAUAACCUUUACAAGAUUGAUGAUAGCUCUCUGGGCUGGUUAGGUCAGCAUCCCAAGCAAAACUCGAUGAUUGUAGGUAUGGUUCACUCAGAGAUUUCAGACGAGGUUCAUUCUACCCCUGUUGAUGAGGAGGGAAAGAAAUUAGAUUCCAUAGGGCGCAAGAUUUAUUCAUCUGCAUCCUUAUUGCUUAAAAUCUCCAAUUAUAGUGCGUGCAUGGGGGCAUACCAAAAAUUUCUGUGGGACAAGGUUGCUCCAUUUUUGGAGAAAUUGCCAGAGGAAGACAAAAGGGCUUGCUCUGUCUUCCAACAGGAGGCCCGUGCUCUAUCCAGACAACAACUCCAAGUUUCUGGGCACAUCGCCGACUGUGCUGGAAAAGUGAUGGCUAAUUCCAUUGGCCUGCGUCGUCAUGCAUGGUUACGUAUCUUGAAUCUUACACCAUAUGCUCGGGCAGCUGUUGAGGAAAUGCCUUUUGACGGGACAGGUAUUUUUCAUGCAGAGACUGACUCGCGUAUGCAACAUAUUGCUACCAUGGAAGAUGUUGUGAAGAAAUUAUGCAGGCCACCUUUAGCCUCUAGAUCCCAAAGGCGUCAGCGCAUGGCACCUUAUCGUACCCAGUCAAGCCACCCAUCAGCCAGAUCAAGACCUAGACCUCAAUUCUAG
ensembl:lncRNA